GACGAACGCUGGCGGCGUGCUUAACACAUGCAAGUCGAACGGAAAGGCCCUGCUUUUGUGGGGUGCUCGAGUGGCGAACGGGUGAGUAACACGUGAGUAACCUGCCCUUGACUUUGGGAUAACUUCAGGAAACUGGGGCUAAUACCGGAUAGGAGCUCCUGCUGCAUGGUGGGGGUUGGAAAGUUUCGGCGGGUGGGGAUGGACUCGCGGCUUAUCAGCUUGUUGGUGGGGUAGUGGCUUACCAAGGCUUUGACGGGUAGCCGGCCUGAGAGGGUGACCGGCCACAUUGGGACUGAGAUACGGCCCAGACUCCUACGGGAGGCAGCAGUGGGGAAUAUUGCACAAUGGGCGGAAGCCUGAUGCAGCAACGCCGCGUGCGGGAUGACGGCCUUCGGGUUGUAACCCGCUUUCGCCUGUGACGAAGCGUGAGUGACGGUAAUGGGUAAAGAAGCACCGGCUAACUACGUG
rnacentral:rRNA from 1 species